AGUGAACGCUGGCGGCAGGCCUAACACAUGCAAGUCGAACGGCAGCACAGUAAGAGCUUGCUCUUACGGGUGGCGAGUGGCGGACGGGUGAGGUAUACAUCGGAAUCUACUUUUUCGUGGGGGAUAACGUAGGGAAACUUACGCUAAUACCGCAUACGACCUACGGGUGAAAGCAGGGGAUCUUCUGACUUUGCGCGAUUGAAUGAGCCGAUGUCGGAUUAGCUAGUUGGCGGGGUAAAGGCCCACCAAGGCUACGAUCCGUAGCUGGUCUGAGGGGCUGGUGAGCCACACUGGAACUGAGGAACGGUCCCGACUCCUACGGGAGGCAGCAGUGGGGAAUAUUGGACAAUGGGGGCAAGCCUGAUCCAGCCCUACCGGGUGGGUGAAGAAGGCCUUCGGGUUGUAAAGCCCUUUUGUUGGGAAAGAAAAGCAGCAGGUUAAUACCCCGCUGUUCUGACGGUACCCAAAGAAUAAGCACCGGCUAACUUCGUG
rnacentral:rRNA from 1 species